UGAGGAAUAUUGGUCAAUGGGCGAGAGCCUGAACCAGCCAAGUAGCGUGCAGGAUGACGGCCCUAUGGGUUGUAAACUGCUUUUAUGUGAGGAUAAAGUGCGUGACGUGUCAUGCAUUGCAGGUACCACAUGAAUAAGGACCGGCUAAUUCCGUGCCAGCAGCCGCGGUAAUACGGAAGGUCCGGGCGUUAUCCGGAUUUAUUGGGUUUAAAGGGAGCGUAGGCUGUCUAUUAAGCGUGUUGUGAAAUUUACCGGCUCAACCGGUGGCUUGCAGCGCGAACUGGUCGACUUGAGUAUGCAGGAAGUAGGCGGAAUUCAUGGUGUAGCGGUGAAAUGCUUAGAUAUCAUGACGAACUCCGAUUGCGCAGGCAGCUUACUGUAGCAUAACUGACGCUGAUGCUCGAAAGUGCGGGUAUCAAACAGG
rnacentral:rRNA from 1 species